GAGCUGCAGGUUGUCAGAGAUCAGCUGUUCUGCUCUGAUCUCAGCUCUGAAGUCCAACAUCCAUCUGAGAGAUCUGAACCUGAGUGACAACGAUCUGAAGGAUUCAGAUGAGAAGCUGCUGAGAGAUCUUCUGGAGAGUCCAGACUGCAGACUGGAGACCCUCAGGAUCGGAAGAUGGGAUAAGCCGAUCACGAUCCAGAAGACCUGUGACAGGAAGUGAAGACACACAGAAAGUUUAUUCAUCACGGGGCGAGUUUGAGACGUCCAGAGGAGCGUGGAGGCAUUUUGGAGAAUACAGAAGAAGACUGCAGCUGAUGAGAGACUUCCUGUUAGCUCUCCUCAAUAUUGAACAAAAACAAUCCAUUGUACUUAAAGCUUUUCUUAAAGAUGUGUUGCACAUACACCUACUGCUACCUACCACCACCUCCCACCCAUCCCGGCACCAAAGAGGAGACCCCAUCGACCCCAGAUACCCCAACUCACUCUUCUUCAGGUUAGCUUGGAGCCCCGCCUUUACCUGCCCCAACAUCUCACUUUGAACGAUGUAGUCAUCCGGAUAUCUGCAUACUGAGAGUGGGACGCAGGACCCGGUCAAUGAGCUGCUGGAAGGGGGUCCACUGGACUGGAGGGGCGCUUGGAUCUGGUGAUGCCUUGCUCUUUCUGAAAGGGGAGGACAAAGGAGGUGCAAAGCAGCUAAAGACUUAGUAAAGGGUUGUGGGUCGUGUGCAUAGGCUAAUGCAAUGUGUCUGGCAGAGGGGACCUUAAGAUGGUCCAACAUGUGGCACUUGUAGAGUUUGGUUUCCCAAGCGGGUAGGAGGUUAGUUAGAGCCAUCUUCAGCAUUGCAUAGUGUUGAUGUCUCCAUAUUAAGUUGAAUAAUUAAAACGAAAGUUAAUAUAAUCAAAUAUAAUCUUGUAUAACCCACAAUGAAAAUAUUAUAUUUCAUGUUGUUCUAUAAUCCCAGUAUAUACAAACACAAGUAGUUUGUUAAAUUGAGUUUAAGGCCUAUUGUAGUUUAUGGGUGUCACUGUUUAAAGAGGGGGGACAGUUGUCUUCACUCACAGGCUGUACCCCCGACUCAAUGGAAAAGUACUGGAGCCCCAAAAUGUGUUCAGGCCAUACCAUAGGAGAAUAUGUCUGGAUGUCCAGUCCUGCACACCAGAGGUCAUGACCUUUCCCCACAGGGUAUAAAGGAGGUGUCUUUGGGUUUUCUUUGUGUUCCUAUGUGCAGCAUAAAAGCACUGGCUGAGAGGGAGAAAGCUCCAGAGCGGGGUCUCUCCUUGGUAGGUUCUCUCAACUUGGUAAGAUCUCUCAGAUUGAUUUGGUGAAUUGUUGAAUGAAAGCUUGAAUGUGUUAGAUACCACUGACCAUUUAUGAGGAGAUUCCUCUGGAUUCUGUCGGGUUAGACUUUUAAUGUUUCAACUGAAGAGGGCAGUUGAAGUUAGAAUUUAGUGUAAGAAAUGUAAAACUGAAUUGAGCUUUUAUAUUAGAAAAGUAGCACAGCAUGAUAUGUUUUGUAUGAUUGUCAUAUUGUAACGAGAGAAGGUAAAAACCUGUUUAAGUGUGGACCAUUUUCUUCAAAUAAAAUCAUCCCACCUUUUUGGAUUGGGAGAACUUAAAAUAAAUCUGCGCUCUCCUCUCCUGCUUAAAGUGUGUGACGCAGUGUGUUCAGCUCAGGAGUUCAGCUGCUCUCAGGAUCUGUGUGUGUCCGAGGGAAGUGUGUGUGACUUCACUGACGACUGUGGAGAUUACAGCGAUGAGGAAAACUGCUCUGGAUAUAAGAGGUGUGGUUUUGAAGAUGGAUUCUGUGACUUGAUGCAGAGCUCAGAGUCCAGAUGGAUCAGAACUACCGAGGCUCCUGGACUCAAACACGACCACUCAAACACAUCAGCUCACUUCCUGUCCCUUUCACCUGGAACCAGAACCUCUGCAGACCUGAUCAGUCCUUUCUUCCUGCCCACUGAAACCUGCCAGCUGAGAGACCCUCAAAUAACAUCUGUUUGAACAUUAAAGCACAGGAGAAAUGUUACUUUAGUGGGAAUGCUGACACAGCAUUCCCACUAAAGAACGAGAGAGGAGACGAGGACACGAGAG